rfam:Schistosoma mansoni strain Puerto Rico chromosome 2, complete genome
GCACUACUGAGGAGUUCCAUAAUAGGACGAAACGGCCUUUGUCCAGUGC